UGAUGGUUAGUGUUCACUCCUGGGUCAC
rnacentral:piRNA from 1 species